ensembl:lncRNA
CGUCAGAGGACCAGAAGCACCUCCUCGGGCCUCUUGGAAAGCUCACUCUUGGAAGACUCUUUCUAAGAACCCAGCUGCCAUGCUGAGAGAAACUCAAGCCACCCGGAUAUGGGCCACCUGGAGAUACUCCUAGACGGACCCAGGCGAGCUCACAGCCAGCCGCCAGCAUCACCAGCAUGUCUGGGGAGGAGCACCUUUCCAUCUGGUCCAGGCCAGGCUUCACAGGACUCCAACUGUCAUCUGACUACACCCAGGCAAGACCUCAAGUGAGAAUGUUCCAGCUGAGCCCAGUCAACCCACAGAACCAUGAGAGAGAAGAGUAGAUGCUUGGUUGUUCUGAACGACUGAGUUUGGAGGGAUUUUGUUAGACAGCCAUGUAAAACUAAAAGCAUCCACCUGCAAGAAGCUGCCUUGGGAGUCAGUCGAGUGGUAGCUAAAUACAGCCUACAACUACAGGGCCGCUUGCAGAUCCUGGAGACACAGAGCAGCAGCAGCCACCUCAGACCUAAGGAUGGGGAAGGCUUCUUAGAAGUGGCAGCAGCUGAGAAAGAGAACAGGGAAGAACAGAGAAGAGGAGGGGAAACAGGGGCAGGGUAGAGGGCGGCAGGGAGAGGGAAGGGAGAGAAAGGGCAGGAAGGAAAGAGAGAGAAGAAGCCUUUGCAAAGGAGCGCCCAGGGAGGAGCUGGCUCAUUCUGGGACAGGUCAGGGGUUGGCACAGCCAAGGAGAAGAGAGUGGUGGGAGGAGGCUGAUGAGAGAGGAGGGGUUAGAGCAGGCCUAGGGGAGACCACGAGAGGGCUUGGCCUGGGCAUGCUGAGGGUUUGGGGCUUGAUGCUGAAGGGAAUAUGGAGCCCCUGGAUCUCUGUGCAAAGAACACUGAACGUACCUGGGGUCUGGGAAGGCAAGUCUGCUCUGUGGAAUGGGUGAUGGGAGGAGGCGGUGGCACACUUCACAGUGCAUUCUGGAAGCAGGUAGACCAGGAAAUGCCGGAAAGAACAGGGGCGAGAGGAGAGUUAUGGGGUGACUUAGAAGCAAAUGAGAAGUGGGAUCCGCAGAACCUGCAGGCUGAGGGGUGGGAUGGGUCAGAGAUGAGCCCUAGUUUGGGGGUUUGAACAGCUGUCACGUGGGAUCACUAUUCAUCAGGAUAAGCAAUAGGGACUACAGACCAGAAAUGAAGGGAAAUAGAAGGAGUUAAUUUUGAACACAUUAGUGGUAGUGUGUUCUAGAAUCUAGUGUCUUAGUGGUACUUAUGCAGACAUACCAAAACAAGCUGAUGAGCAGAACUCUACUGAAGUUCAAGACAGAGGUUGUCCAGACAGAGAGGACUGGAAGUCACAAGAACGCAAGUAGUUAUAAAAUUGCAGGAGGGAUUAAGAACUCCUAAAGAUAGUAUGUACAUGCUAAACAAUAAGUUCUUUAGGGAGUGAUUUUAAGAAAUAUAUGAUAAUCCAAAGAUUCCAAAGUUAUAUGUUGAUAUUUUAACACCUCUGACAUCAGCAAAUUAAAUUGCCUCUUAAAAUUAAUGGAAGAUCAUAAUUCAAUGGCCAGUGCUUUUUCUUAGUGUUUCUGAAAAUAAUGGUGUCAUAUAAUCAAUGUCAUCUUAUAAUAAGUGAAAUAAGGUGGCUUAUCAAAUCAACCUGGCUCUAAUAAGUGCUCGAAAUUUUUAUUUGCUCUUUUUUAACUCUAUGAAAAAUAUGCAUUUAAAAAUUAUAGAACAGAGAGUAUGCCAGUGGGGCAUAAUAAUGUCAAGACUCAAGUGAGAAGUUUGGAAAAACUGCUACAAGAACUUUAACAGCAACAAGAAGAAUAUCUGCUAUCUAUUGAGCACCUGUGAGCAUUAAUUGUGCAGGUGUUCCAUGAGGUACUUAUGCAUGUUAAUUCAUUUCCAUCUCACUUUGAUCCCAUGAGAUAAAUACUAUUACUGGCUUCAGUUCCCAGAUGAGAAAAUGUAGGCAGUGUUAUAUAACAUCAAGUCUCACUCCUGACAAGGCCACAACAGAAAUCCAGCACAAGUGAUAGAGCCUAGGACUGAAAGGGCACCCCAAUAUUCGGGACCAUCAGUACAGGAAAGUGGAGACACUAUCCUGUCAAAGGAGACGUGAGUCUUCUUCCCAGAUGUCAGGAUUCUAGCCAUGUGGUAAGAUUUCAUGAGCAAGACACAAAUACUCUGGAAAAGAUCCUGGCUCCAGGAGGGACAUGGGGUGUCUAGGAAAGUCAUUCAGAUGAGAACAGGAAGAAGAGCGAAGUGGACACCCAAAUGCAAACAGGAUGGACCUAAAUAUGUCCUCUGGGAAAAGGAGGGAGAAAGAGUGAUUGUUUGGGAGACUGCAGGCCAAGAACCAGGACUUGAAAGUGCUUCACAUUUAGUCAACUUCAGCUUCAAGCUGAUCCUGGAACUGGGGAAAGGACUAACUUACAAGAUUGGAAGGAAGAAGCAAUAGUUGCGAAGAAUGACAAGCAACAGAGACCAGGGAAUCGAUUAGGCAAGAAACUGAUCCUAAUGUAAUACAUUUUAUGAAUGGGAUCUUCCCAACCCAGGGAUCGAGCCCACGUCUUCUGCAUUGGCAGGCAGGUUCUCUACCACUGAGCCACGAGGAAAGCCCUUGUGUUACAGCAGCCCUUUACCUCCUGAGAGGAGCGCUCCGGGAGAGCAGUGUAUCCCUAGCUCCAGAACCAGCAAUUAGGAGUUGCCAAAAUCUCUUAACUUCACACAAUAGUGCAGCCUCACUGACUUCAUGCUCAUCUGCAGAACAUACAGGAUGGAAGCAAAAAUGGCGAUGGAGAGGGUCGCACCUUGAGGAGUGUGGCAUUUUAUUUCCCCAAACAAGGAUGAAAUCCACACACUCUACAUUGGCAGAAUGGAGUUUUAACUACUAGACUGACAGUGAAGAAUUGGAAUGGGG